GAGAGGCUAGGACUGAUUUAAUGUACAUGAUACACGCACUGUAUGUACAGAACGGAAUGGUACUUUUAAUUUGAAUGCUUUUAAGUGGGCUGCCUUUGUUGCUAAAGGUUGGGAAAUUAACAUCAGGACGGUUUAUGUCUUAAGUGAUAUUUGUCAUUUGUAUGUUGCUACUCUGGUUUCUAAUUAAAGCCUGCCUGGGCCGAGCACAUGGCGCAAUACUGAGAAUCACCACCAUAUAUAAGCAGGAAUUUUCUGUGCAGGUUCUGGAUUUUACAUGGAGAACAUGAAAAGCCCACAGUUUCAUAUGGCCUGGUCAAAAACAGGGUACACAUGUGAAUGUUGCUGAGACGCCACAAUAAAAUCUCAUCUCAUCACGGGGAA